rnacentral:lncRNA from 1 species
GUGGCUAAAAGCUACUCCACAAAACCAAAAGGCAAGAUGUUUGCUUAUGCCUUCUUUGUGCAGGCAUACAGAGAACCUAAGCAGAAAAACCCAAAGAUCCCUGUCAAUUUUUGCAAAAUUGUCCAAAAGUACACUGAGAAGUGGAAGACAAUGUCUGGGAAAGAGAAGUCUAAAUCUGAUGAAAUGGCAAAAGUAGAUAAAAUAUGCUAUGAUUCAGAAAUGAAGGAUUAUGGACUAUCUAAGGGAGGCAAAACAAAAAAAUAAAAAACAAAAAGGACCUCAAUGUCCCCAAAAGGUCACUGUCCAGAUUCUUCCUGUUCUGUUCAGAAUUCUGCCCCAAGAAUUCAGACCCUGGCAUCUCUAUUGGAGAUGUGGCAAAAAAGCUAGGUGAGAGGUGGAGUAAUUUAAGUGACACUAAAAAGCAGCUUUGCAUCACAAAGGCAACAAAGCUGAAGGAGAAGUAUGAGAAGGAUGUUGCUAACUGCAAGUCUAAAGGAAAAUCUGAUGGCGCAAAAGGUCCCACUAAAGUUGUCUGGACAAAGGUGGAAGAGAAAGGCAAAGAUGACGAGGAGGAAGAGGCGGAGGAGGAGAAUGAAUAA